rnacentral:rRNA from 1 species
AUAGCGUCUUCUGCUCAAUGUAAAUAGCCGCAGUACUCUGACUGUGCUAAGGUAGCAUAAUCAGUUGGCUUAUAAUUGAAGUCUAGUAUGAAUGAAUAAUGGGGGAUUCUGUAUCGUCUUUAGUUUGAAAUUACUUAAAAAGUGAAAAUUCUUUUUUAUAUAAUAGACGAGAAGACCCUAGAAAUUUUUAUUUUUAUUGGGGCAAUAGAGUUUAAUUAUGUGAAGUUUCUUACAAUAAAAUUAAUUACUCUAGGGAUAACAGCAUAAUUAUUGUUGAUUGUGACCUCGAUGUUGGAUUAGGUAUAGUUAAGA